AGAGUUUGAUCCUGGCUCAGAGUGAACGCUGGCGGCGUGCCUAAUACAUGCAAGUCGAACGAUGAAGCUUCUAGCUUGCUAGAAGUGGAUUAGUGGCGCACGGGUGAGUAAUGCAUAGGUUAUGUGCCCUUUAGUCUGGGAUAGCCACUGGAAACGGUGAUUAAUACUGGAUACUCCCUACGGGGGAAAGGGGCUUUCAAUAAAGAAUUUCUCUUUGGACGAUAAAUCAAUGAGUUUGAAAAAUAUUUUUUAAGGCUAGUCUCCGCAUAUUUUUCUACACAACAUUGAUUUCUCAUUCCAAAUCUUAAAAUUCUUAAGCUCUUUUAGAUUCUCCUUUAGAAGAAUCUAGAGUAAAAAAGCUGAAUUGUAGGGUAAAAUUUUUUAUUGAAAGCCUUCGCUAAAGGAUCAGCCUAUGCCCUAUCAGCUUGUUGGUGAGGUAAUGGCUCACCAAGGCUAUGACGGGUAUCCGGCCUGAGAGGGUGAUCGGACACACUGGAACUGAGACACGGUCCAGACUCCUACGGGAGGCAGCAGUAGGGAAUAUUGCUCAAUGGGGGAAACCCUGAAGCAGCAACGCCGCGUGGAGGAUGAAGGUUUUAGGAUUGUAAACUCCUUUUGUUAGAGAAGAUUAUGACGGUAUCUUACGAAUAAGCACCGGCUAACUCCGUGCCAGCAGCCGCGGUAAUACGGAGGGUGCAAGCGUUACUCGGAAUCACUGGGCGUAAAGAGCGCGUAGGCGGGUAGUCAAGUCAGAUGUGAAAUCCUGUAGCUUAACUACAGAACUGCAUUUGAAACUGACCAUCUAGAGUAUGGGAGAGGUAGGUGGAAUUCUUGGUGUAGGGGUAAAAUCCGUAGAGAUCAAGAGGAAUACUCAUUGCGAAGGCGACCUGCUGGAACAUUACUGACGCUGAUGCGCGAAAGCGUGGGGAGCAAACAGGAUUAGAUACCCUGGUAGUCCACGCCCUAAACGAUGAAUGCUAGUUGUUGCCCUGCUUGUCAGGGCAGUAAUGCAGCUAACGCAUUAAGCAUUCCGCCUGGGGAGUACGGUCGCAAGAUUAAAACUCAAAGGAAUAGACGGGGACCCGCACAAGCGGUGGAGCAUGUGGUUUAAUUCGAAGAUACGCGAAGAACCUUACCUAGGCUUGACAUUGAUAGAAUCCGCUAGAGAUAGUGGAGUGCUGGCUUGCCAGAGCUUGAAAACAGGUGCUGCACGGCUGUCGUCAGCUCGUGUCGUGAGAUGUUGGGUUAAGUCCCGCAACGAGCGCAACCCUCGUCCUUAGUUGCUAGCAGUUCGGCUGAGCACUCUAAGGAGACUGCCUUCGUAAGGAGGAGGAAGGUGAGGACGACGUCAAGUCAUCAUGGCCCUUACGCCUAGGGCUACACACGUGCUACAAUGGGACAUACAAAAAGAUGCAAUACCGCGAGGUGGAGCAAAUCUCUAAAAUGUCUCUCAGUUCGGAUUGUAGUCUGCAACUCGACUACAUAAAGCUGGAAUCGCUAGUAAUCGUGAAUCAGCAAUGUCACGGUGAAUACGUUCCCGGGUCUUGUACUCACCGCCCGUCACACCAUGGGAGUUGUAUUCGCCUUAAGUCGGGAUACUAAAUUGGUUACCGCCCACGGCGGAUGCAGCGACUGGGGUGAAGUCGUAACAAGGUAACCGUAGGUGAACCUGCGGUUG
rnacentral:rRNA from 1 species